rnacentral:lncRNA from 1 species
AAGCAAACAGUUCAAUUUAAUACUGAAAGGGGGGCAGGAUUGAAAGGAGGAAAAGAAGUUAUUUGGCUUGUCAUGGAAAACUACAGAACAGAAAACCCUAACAUAAUUCAGCUCAGAAUCACACUGACUGCAUCUCUCUUAUCUUUUCAGGCUUACACACACAUAGUGUGCAGCAGGUGCUGCCCCUUGUUGGCAGGGGCCUACAGCCAGACUGGGACCAGAAAUGAAGUUCUGGAAAGCCUAUCAGCCAGUGGUCCAAGCUGCAUCCUUCAGUAUAGUUUUGUCAGUAAAGCUAGCAUGUGUUCUUCAUCUUUCUGACUCCUCAGAAUUGUGGAGUGAGAAUAGAGGAGUGUUAUUUACCGGCCCCUGAAAACCCUAAUGUAGGAUACGGACAAGAAAGAUGAGGAAUGUACUGAUGGACUGCAACUUCAUUCCUCGUAGGCUCUGACAGACAACAGGAAAAGGAUUUAGCAGCUGAAGCUCUAUACCAGAAAGAGCAGCCAAAAUUAGCUAACGAGCUGCUGGCCACUCCAGCACAGUUAGGAGGUAGUAACAUAUGCAUAUGGAAUUUCCUAUUCUUGUUACAGUCCUGACAAUGAGGGUAAGGUGUCAAGUGUCUUCAUUCCUCAAGCUGCAACUCAAGGUGACUGAGUCAUUAGCUCUGUUACUGCUUAGCCAUGGUCUUGCUCUCCAGAAUCUUCUCUGCCAGCUUUUAGCUACUAUUCUCAGUUUUGGAAAGAAAGCUCUGGAGCCUCUCAGAAAACUUUUUGCACUAGGGUCAAAGUAAGCAGAAUAUAAAUGCUCCCUGGCAUUUCCAAGUAUAAAUAGGUCCAAGAUGCCUCAUUAGGAGCCUCACUGCUUGCUUCUGAAGCACAAGUUCCAUCUCUGUCUUCACCUGUUUCUCCAGGAGAAUAACCUCAUUACCUUACUACAAUUACCGAUUUGCUGGAAAAUAAUCUACAUCCCUCACCAGCACCGUAAUCGAACUCAUCAAUAAGCUGCUCAGGACUUAAAUCCUACAAAUCUCUAGCCAGAAGCUAAGAGGAGUAUAUUAAUUUCUGGUUGCAAGCAACAGAAAUGGACUUUCUGGAAUUAAAUGGUAACGUAAGUAAAAAGAGAAUAUUCUGGAAAGCUAUGGUGCUGCUCACAAUACUGAAGGCAAGACUAGGGAACCAAGCUUGGAAAGACAGAAAUUAGGAGACUCCACAAGUUCUUACUGUCAAUUGAGCCCAGGCCCCACAGCUGGAAGAGCUGAACUUAGACUGUUCCUCUACCUUAGGUAUACUGUACUCAAGACCAAAGUUCUGAUAGAGAAAGAAACCAACACACUAAGUUUUAGUCCUAUCCUGCCUCUUGCUAUACCUAGGCUGUGAAAGACAGAUCUUAGGAAACGAGCUUCUAGAGUUUCCUUCAGCUGCCAUGAUGGGACAGAAGGCCCUGAGACUUAUCUACCCAUCACAACUGCACACAAAGGAAGGCAGUAAAUUCCCCUAAAGGAAAUCAAAGUGCUAUUAGGAAAAGGCAAUGCAUACUGAGUAGCAAAACAUAACAAAUGUCCUUCCUGGGAAUGCUAAAGCCAAUUCUCUUCUUUUACAGUUAAGGAAGCUGAGAUCAAGAAAGUUUAAAUAACUUAAAGGUCAAAGAGCAAGUUAGAGGAAGAGAUGGAACAGAAAUUUCAUCAAAUAUUCUAUACCCUUACUACCCGAAGUGUGGUCUGUGGACGACCUCAGCUGGGGGCUGGUUAGGAAGGCAAACUUGCAGGCCCCACCCCAAACCUACUGAGUCAGAAUCUGCAUUUUAACAAGAUGCUGGGGUAAUUCACAUGGACACUAAAGUCUGAGAAGCACUGCUUUAUUUUUAUAGGUCUCUACUUCUGUGUCAUCCAGUGGAAACUGAACCCAGGUGUUUCUCACAUGACUUUGACUGAUGAUGGUCUUUCCUCAAUUCACAGGAAAAAAAGACAUAAUUGUUUCGUCAUUAUGUUCUAAACCCUACAGCCUGUCCCUGUGUUCUAUUAGCACACUCAGACAGAGAGCAGAUUAUGUGAUCACCAGAAAUGUAACAAUAGGAUGCACCUAAGCCAAAUUCCAACAGAAUGAUGGGAGGAAUUCUUCAAAUCAGGACUUCAUAUAGGCAAUGUUGAGGAUGACCAGUCCCAACUGUGAAAUCGGAACCAAAACUGUAAUGAUAAGAAUUGUUCCAUGGUACUUGGGUGCAAGAAAUAUCACAUUUCUUUAUUGUUUUAAAUCAAAUUAAACAGUCCCACCUGUUGAGCAGAAAAUCUAUGUGCAAUUAUUUAGGACACCCUCUCCACCUUUCCUUGGUUGAAUCAGAACCCAGAGGCUUAUAUAGUUCUAAAAAAACACAAAUUAAAAAUUUCAAGAGAAAAGGGGUUGGCAGGGGGAGGGGGGAGAAAUGGCUCUUUGUCCUCCAGAUGGCCCUGGCCACUGACUUUCCUUCUGCUCAAGCCACUGCUCUAGGAG